rnacentral:rRNA from 1 species
GACAGAGGGUGCAACCGUUGUUCGGAAUUACUGGGCGUAAAGCGCGUGUAGGCGGCUCAGAAAGUCGGAUGUGAAAGCCCUGGGCUUAACCUAGGAAGUGCAUUCGAAACUUCUGAGCUUGAGUUCUGGAGAGGAAGGCGGAAUUCUCGGUGUAGAGGUGAAAUUCGUAGAUAUCGAGAGGAACACCGGUGGCGAAGGCGGCCUUCUGGACAGUGACUGACGCUGAGACGCGAAAGCGUGGGGAGCAAACAGG